CUGACGGGUGAGUAACGCGUAAGAACUUGCCUUUUAGACUGGGAUAACAGAGGGAAACUUCUGAUAAUACUGGAUAAGUUAGUAUAUCGCAUGAUAUGCAAAAUGAAAGCUACGGCACUAAAGGAGAGCUUUGCGUCCUAUUAGCUAGUUGGUAAGGUAAGAGCUUACCAAGGCGAUGAUAGGUAGCCGGCCUGAGAGGGUGACGGCCACAAGGGGACUGAGAUACGGCCCUUACUCCUACGGGAGGCAGCAGGA
rnacentral:rRNA from 1 species